AGUGAACGCUGGCGGUAGGCCUAACACAUGCAAGUCGAACGGCAGCACAGUAAGAGCUUGCUCUUACGGGUGGCGAGUGGCGGACGGGUGAGGAAUACAUCUGAAUCUACUUUUUCGUGGGGGAUAACGUAGGGAAACUUACGCUAAUACCGCAUACGACCUACGGGUGAAAGCAGGGGAUCUUCGGACCUUGCGCGAUUGCAUGAGCCGAUGUCGGAUUAGCUAGUUGGCGGGGUAAAGGCCCACCAAGGCGACGAUCCGUAGCUGGUCUGAGAGGAUGAUCAGCCACACUGGAACUGAGACACGGUCCAGACUCCUACGGGAGGCAGCAGUGGGGAAUAUUGGACAAUGGGCGCAAGCCUGAUCCAGCCAUACCGCGUGGGUGAAGAAGGCCUUCGGGUUGUAAAGCCCUUUUGUUGGGAAAGAAAAGCAGCAGGUUAAUACCCCGCUGUUCUGACGGUACCCAAAGAAUAAGCACCGGCUAACUUCGUG
rnacentral:rRNA from 1 species